ensembl:lincRNA A730082K24Rik RIKEN cDNA A730082K24 gene
UCUGCAUCAGUUCCUGCCUCCAGUUUCUGCUCUGUGUUAGUUCCUGUCCUCCCAUCACAUUAUGAACCCCUCCGUUGAUUCAUCCAAUGAAGAAGUCACAGUUCCCAGGGGUCAAUUCCUUCCUCAAUCCUCCCUUCUGAAUGCUGAACUGGGUUAUGACUAGAAGCUGUUGGAGCUGUUGGAAGGGCUGAGAUUGCCAGGGUGCAGAAGAGAGUCAGUCACCAUUUUCAGUUCAAAAUCCUGGUUGCUAGAGCAAGACUCACAAAGCUCCAAGUGCUCCGGGUUCCUGGGGAGAUAUCAUCUUUGUGUGAAGUUGUGUGGGAAGAAGAGAGAAAGAUCUCCCUCUGAAAGCUUCAUACUGUCUCUCUGAUGUGGUACUCACUGGACUGCCCCAGGAGGAUAUGCGGAGCACUUUUGCUGUAUCAGCUCAGAGGCUGCCACAUAAUCCAGGCUCAUCUUGUCCCCAGACCACACCGGGACUUCCUACCUCAGAAUCAUCAUCAGAUGGGAAGUCAAGUUGGAAUUUCUGACAGAGGAACUCAGAAACAGAGACCACUGUUGACUUCAUAAAACUGAUAGGCCUGUUAUGUUUUCUUUGUAUUUUACCAUUUUCUCUGGAUGUCCUCUGUGCUGCAUAACCUUUUUUGUCAACGUGACA